rnacentral:rRNA from 1 species
GAGCGUUGUCCGGAAUUACUGGGCGUAAAGAGCACGUAGGCGGAUAUUUAAGUGAGAUGUGAAAUACCCGGGCUCAACCUGGGUGCUGCAUUUCAAACUGGAAGCUAGAGUGCAGGAGAGGAGAGUGGAAUUCCUAGUGUAGCGGUGAAAUGCGUAGAUAUAUGGAGGAACACCAGUGGCGAAGGCGACUCUCUGGUCUGUAACUGACGCUGAGGCACGAAAGCGUGGGGAGC